UAGGCAGUAUUUUGGAGCUCUCUCACUGUGUUUAACAAAAGAAGAAAUUAGUAAAUCAGAAGAUUUCUUCAAACAAACAAAAUGGCAUAUAGAAAUUUUCAAAAUUUUGACAACUAUGCAUAUGAAUGUGAUGACUAUAAAAACAUUCAUUCAUUUGAUCAUAGUAAUUCGAGAAAUUCUGUUGAGAGGUUUUCCAGCAGGCCAAACAUAGACUUUUCUGUUAACUCAAGAAGACCACCUGGGCCAAGUUAUGAAAGACCAUCAGAUGUCAGAAAUGGAUUAAGAAACUCUGAGUUUCAGGUAAACAUGGGACAACCUUCUGCAAGGGUUUAUGACAUAUAUGGAGAUCCUGAAAUUCUAAUUCAGCCACAGAAUUUAUAUGAGCCAGGACCUUCUAGAAAUUUUUAUCAUGACUCACAUUGGAAGGGCCAACCUAUAAGAUAUUCAAAGGCCUUGCAAAAUUUUAAUCACUCUGCUGGUCAAGGUCCUCAAUUACCUGAUAUCAAACAAUCUGACCAAGGAAGUGCAGAUUUAAAAAGGUUUAGCCGUUAUCAUGGAUGUCAAGAGAAACUGGACUUCCCAUAUUACACUAACCAAAGGAAUGGUCCUCAGAUUGAUCAAGAUUUGUUGGCUCAACCAUCUACAAGUCGAGAUACUGGUUUUCAACAACAUAGAAGUAACUUUAAAAUGCCAGAUGGUCAUUCAGCUCAAAAUCUUGCAGAUGAUGAUGAUGCAAUCACUAGAAGUCAAAGUAGUUUUAGCUAUAGAGACAGACCAAGAUUAUUAGAUGCUUUUCAAUCAUCUAAAUCAGCAUAUAAUGAAUUAACUGUAAGACGGCCUCAUACAGCUCCAGAACCUGCAAUUUCUAGUCUCAGACAUAGGCAGUCAGCAAAGCACACAAUGAAAGAUGCUAGACAGAUUGCAAAAGAACUUGGGCUCUACAGUAAAACUGAAGAGGUCAGUAAUGCAGACACCAAUCCCAGUGAAAUGAAUUCAGAAUCCCAAGUUGUCCCUGCAGGACUUCAAGAUGAUGAAGAAACUAAAAGAAAAUGUUGGGCAAGAAUGUGUCAGAGCAUAACGUACCAUGCUCACUACACUAGUGCUUCAAAAGAAAUGGAAAACAGGAACAAAGUUAAACAAGCUCAAGUCAGUCCAGCAGCUGGUUUUGCUGCCUGGGAACUAAGGCAGCAGAAAGCAAAGAAAAAACUAUGGGAGACAUGGAAGGAGUUAAUUUCUAGCUUGAAUGUUUGGUCACAUCCACUCAAAAGAAUUGAAGGUUAUCAUGGGACUGGAGUUGUUUCAUACUUUUUGUUUCUUCGCUGGCUGCUGUUCUUGAACCUUGGGAUCUUUUUUCUUGUUGUUCUCUUCAUUCUUCUCCCGCAUAUACUUUUCAAACCCUUGGAAAGCUCAGAGUUAAAAAUAGAAAAUAAAACUCUUGCUAGCAGUAACUAUUUUCCCAAGCCAGCAGCACUGAGACUGUAUUCUCCUAGCGACCUCUUCCCAAAUCUCCCAGAUGAAGUUUUUUCCAUUUUCCAAGACAUUGGAGGCAAGGCUUUUGACCAAGCAUCACAGAUCACUAGUCUUUUGCCAUCAGCUCUUAAAUCUGAUAAAGCUUUCUUUACAGAUGAAAGACUAAAAUUUAGUCCAUUUUGUUCAGAAAAUUACACAGUUAUGGUUAACAAUUUCAAGAGUAGUAAGAUUGAUCUAGUGCUUCAGGACUUCAUGCAAGGAACAGGUUGGAUGGAGCUGACAUUGUUAUUCUAUGGUUACUACAAUCAUUAUAAGUUAAACCUGUUUGGAACUACUCGGAUCUACAACUUCCCACUGGCCUACCUUCUGACAACUUUGGCCUAUUUUUUAGCUUCUCUGGUAUUGAUGGUUGGCUACACAACAGAAGGUGUAAAAGAAACAUUGAUGACUUCAGAAAGUCAGCUUCACAAAUACUGUGACAUGGUUUUUGCUGGCUGGGAUUUCUGCAUUGAGGAUAAGAAGACAGCUAUGUUAAAACACAGCAGCAUUACUCGAGAGCUGAAGGGGCACCUUGCUGAAGAUCAACGAAAUGCUGAACUUUCCCAGUGGACACGCAAAAAGAAAGCAAAAGUGUAUACAGUUAGAACAAUUGUUAAUUUAGCUGUAUUGGGCCUUUUAAUUCUGUGUGGAUACAUACUUUUACUUGUGUCCAAUCUGUCCUUGGAGAAAUCAGGAGAAGAUAAUGAAGGUUUUCUAGCAGUGGUUAUUCAGUUGUUACCUUCACUGACCAUCACAGGACUCAGCCUGGUUGUUCCUACAAUGUUUGGAAAAAUGGUGACUUUUGAAGAAUACUCUAAAGACUUUGAAAUUAAGAUCACUCUUAUUAGAACAGUUUUUCUCAGGUUGGCUUCAAUUGGAAUUCUGAUUUAUUCCUUCCACCACCAAAUCAGCUGUUCUGGAGUCAGUUUAGAUUCAUGUAAACAAGGAAUAAACAGUUUAGGCUGUAAAAAGCCAAUGUGUUGGGAAACAUACAUUGGUCAACAGUUAUACAAACUGGUCCUCAUGGACUUCCUUGUUGCAGUAUUCAAGACAUUUGUAGUGGAACUGGCUCGGAAGUUCAUAGUAACCCACUGCACCUGUGCUAAAAAAAUCGGCAGGCAGGAGUUUGAUGUUACAUCUAAUGUCUUGGAUCUAGUGUACUCUCAGACACUAUGCUGUUUACCGUGAUGGUGAACUGUGUUCCUUCACAGAUUCCAUACAGAGCUUCCCGCUCCAACACUUUCUUUAUGAUUGUCUUGAUGCUGUCAUUUGUCUUGUGCAUCAUUCCUUUAGGAUAUUCUAUUGCUGAGGUUUCACCAUCUUUUGGU
rnacentral:misc_RNA from 1 species